rnacentral:lncRNA from 1 species
CACCUGCACCCAGGUGAAAUAAACAGCUUUACUGCUCUCACACAAAGCCUGUUUGGUGGUCUCUUCACACGGACGCGCAUGAAAUUUGGUGCCAUGACUCGGAUCGGGGGACCUCCCUUGGGAGAUCAAUCCCCUGUCUUCCUGUUCUUUGCUCCGUGAGAAAGAUCCACCUACAACCUCACUUAUUUCCACGCCCCGACCUCUUAUCUCUGGGAAGGUAAGAUCCCCCGAACCCCUUCCCUCCUUUUCUCUAGGCUUGCUUCUUUCACUAUGGGCAAACUUCCACUCUCUAUUCCUCCUUCUACUCCCUUGGCCUGUGUUCUCAAAAACUUAAAACCUCUUCAACUCACACCUGACCUAAAACCUAAAUGCCUUAUUUUCUUCUGCAAUGCCACUUGACCCCAAUACAAACUCGACAGUAGUUCCUUCUCAUUCCAAAGCCUCCUUUGCGUCCUCCUCUUGUAUCCCCCCACCUUAACCCACAAGUAUAAGAUACCUCUACUCCCUCCUUGGCGACCAAUCAUGCACCCCUUACCAUCUCAUUAACCCCCAUGACUGUAUCUCUCUGAUCCACCUGACAUUCACAUUUCCCCAAAUUUCCUUCUUUCCUGUUCCUCACCCUGAUCAAGUAGAAUGGACUAAACGGUCUGUUAAAAACACACCUCACCAUGCUCCUUUUUAUUAGGCCCAGUCUCAUUCCAGACACCAGACCAACUUAGACUGUGCCCCAAAAAAACUUGUCAUCCCUGCUAUCUUCUGUCUAGUCAUACUCCUAUUCACUGUUCUCAACUACUCAUACAUGCCCUGCUCUUGUUUACACUAUUCUUCCAAGCCAUCACAGCUGAUACAGAUAUCCUGAGUCAUCCCAAUUCUUAGACCUCCAUCGCAUCCCCUGUGAUUUGCACAUAUACACCCAGAUGGCCUGAAGUAACUGAAGAAUCACAAACCCUUGAUCACCAUGGACACUCAAGUUGGCAAGAAGAGCUCCUUAGAGAAGUCGUGGGAGGGCAAGCAAGCUGAUGUGGAGCCAGGACGAUUUGAUGUGGGAGCACCUGCAGCCCAAGCCAACACCACAUCCAACAGGAGCCUGCACCCAGUCUUCAGCAUAGAGGUGAAAGAUCUCUACGAGGAGAACUAUGAAACACUGCUCAAAAUAAUCAAAUAUGAUACAAGCAAAUGGAAGAGCAUGCAAUGCUCAUGGAUAGGAAGAAUCAAUAUCAUAAAAAUGGCCAUACUGCCCAAAGCAAUUUAUAGAUUCAAUGCUAUUCCUAUUAAACUACCAUUGAUAUUCUUCACAAAACUAGAGAAAACUAUUUUAAAGUUCAUAUGGAACCAAAAAAGAGCCUGAAUAGCCAAGGAAAUCCUAAGCAAAAAGAACAAAGCUGGAAGCAUCAUGCUACCCAACUUCAAACUAUACUACAGGACUACAGUAACCAAAACAGCGUGGUACUGGUACAAAAACAGACACAUAGACCAAUGAAACAGAAUAGAGAACCCAGAAAUGGUUCUCUAUUUCACACACCUACAACUAUCUGAUCUUCGACAAACCUGAUAAAAACAAGCAAUAGGGAAAUGAUUCUGUAUUCAUUAAAUGAUGCUGGAAUAACUGGCUAGCCAUAUGCUGAAGAUUAAAACUGGACCCCUUCCUUAUACUGUACACAAAAAUCAACUCAAAAUGGAUGAAAGACUUAAAUGUAAAACCCAAAACUAUAACAACAAUAGAAGACAACCUAGGCAAUACCAUCUUGGAUAUAGGAACAGGCAAAAAUUUCAUGACAAAGACACCAAAAGCAAUUGAAACAAAAGCAAAAAUUGAAAAGUGGGUUCUAAAUAAAACUAAAGAGCUCCUGCACAGCAAAGAAAAUACAAACAGAGUGAACAGACAACCUACAGAAUGACAGUAUCUGCAAACUAUACAUCCAACAAAGAUCUAAUAUUCAGCAUCUAUAAGAAACUUAAACAAAUUUCCAAAAACAACCCCAUUAAAAAGUGGGCAAAGCAUAUGAACAGACACUUUUCAAAAGAAGACAUACAUGCAGCCAACAAACAUGAAAAAGGCUCAACACCACCAAUCAUUAGAGAAAUGCAAAUCAAAACCACAAUGAGAUACCAUCUCACACUAGUCAGAAUGGCUGAUGGCUGUUAUUAAAAAGUCAAAAAAUAACAGAUGCUGGCAAGGUUGUGGAGAAAAGGCAAUGCUUAUGCACUGU